CCUCCCCUUACAAGUGAUGGUUCGAGGAAGCCGGUGCAAGUCCGGCGCGGUCGCGCCACUGUGAGUCCACCACCGCCAGGCGGUGGGCAAGUCAGACACUCCCCAUCACGCCCGCUCCAUC
rnacentral:ncRNA from 2 species